GCUGUGCAUUCCAGGAUACCAUGCUGCCUCUUGCUCACCAAGGAAAGACAAGAAGAGGAAGAGAGCCGGGUAGCAAUCCUCAAUACCCACACCAGGCUUAAUGACUGUGUUUGGCAAGAUUAAAGCCGGAGGGAUCAACAUUAGUUCACCGUCUCAGGGAAAGGAAGGUCUCCUCCCAUCACUGGAGGUACAGGUCUGAUGGACAGGGGAAAGCAAGCACAAAUCAUCCUGUGAAACUCCGUUGACACUGGAGUUAUGCUCAUUCAGCUUCAGCAGAAGCCUCGAGCACCAUCUCUGCAGUGGGGAAGGUGGCGGGUGUUGCACCAUGCCCCUUCUCUGAGUUCACCUAAUAAAGCAGUUGGCAUGAC